UACGAACUGUGCAAACGUUAUUCGGAAUCACUGGGCUUACAGGGUGCGUAGGCGGCUUGACAAGUAGGGUGUGAAAGCCCCCGGCUUAACCGGGGAACUGCGCUCUAAACUGUCGAGCUGGAGUGAGAUAGGGGUGUGCGGAACUUCCGGUGGAGCGGUGAAAUGUGUUGAUAUCAUCUGGAAUACCGGAGGCGAAGGCGGCUCACUGGGGCUUUUCUGACGCUGAGGAACGAAAGCCAGGGUAGCGAACGGG
rnacentral:rRNA from 1 species